GGUGGGUAGCUUCCCGGAAACGAAAGUCUUCCGGUUCCGGGGGAAGUAUGGUUGCAAAGCUGAAACUUAAAGGAAUUGACGGAAGGGCACCACCAGGAGUGGAGCCUGCGGCUUAAUUUGACUCAACACGGGGAAACUCACCCGGCCCGGACACCGUAAGGAUUGACAGAUUGAUAGCUCUUUCAUGAUUCGGUGGUUGGUGGUGCAUGGCCGUUCUUAGUUCGUGGAUCGAUUUGUCUGGUUUAUUCCGAUAACGAGCGAGACUCUAGCCUACUAAAUAGUAACGAGAUUAUCAAUGUCUCAGUUGCUUCUUAGAGGGAUUUUCGGUGUUUAGCCGCACGAGAUUGAGCAAUAACAGGUCUGUGAUGCCCUUAGAUGUCCGGGGCUGCACGCGCGCUACACUGGCGAAAUCAGCGUGCUGUAUCCAUUCUCGAAAGGGAUUGGUAAACCCAUGAAAAUUUGCCGUGCUUGGGAUCGGAAAUUGCAAUUAUUUUCCGUGAACGAGGAAUUCCAAGUAAGUGCGAGUCAUCAACUCGCUCUGAUUACGUCCCUGCCCCUUU
rnacentral:rRNA from 1 species